rnacentral:rRNA from 1 species
AGAACGAACGCUGGCGGCAUGCCUAAUACAUGCAAGUCGAACGAAGGCUUCGGCCUUAGUGGCGCACGGGUGCGUAACGCGUGGGAAUCUGCCCCUUGGUUCGGAAUAACAGUUGGAAACGACUGCUAAUACCGGAUGAUGACGAAAGUCCAAAGAUUUAUCGCCAAGGGAUGAGCCCGCGUAGGAUUAGCUAGUUGGUGAGGUAAAGGCUCACCAAGGCGACGAUCCUAGCUGGUCUGAGAGGAUGAUCAGCCACACUGGGACUGAGACACGGCCCAGACUCCGUACGGGAGGCAGACAGUAGGGAAUAUUGGACAAGUGGGACGAAAGCCUGAUCCAGCAAGUGCCGCGUGAGUGAUGAAGGCCGUUAGGUUAGUAAGCUCUUACCGUAGAUAG